GCUAUUUCUAGAGAUAGAAAGUUACUUCGGUACAUCGGUGACAGGUGGUGCAUGGUUGUCGUCAGCUCGUGUCGUGAGAUGUUGGGUUAAGUCCCGCAACGAGCGCAACCCUCGACCUUAGUUGCCAGCAUUCAUUGGGCACUCUAAGGUGACUGCCGGCUAAAAGGUCGGAGGAAGGUGGGGAUGACGUCAAACCAUCAUGCCCCUUAUGACCUGGGCUACACACGUGCUACAAUGGGCGGUACAAAGGGUCGCGAACCCGCGAGGGGGAGCCAAUCCCAAAAAGCCGCUCUCAGUUCGGAUUGCAGGCUGCAACUCGCCUGCAUGAAGCCGGAAUCGCUAGUAAUCGCGGAUCAGCAUGCCGCGGUCGAAUACGUUCCCGGGCCUU
rnacentral:rRNA from 1 species